GUCUCUGAGUUAUACGUGGUUCAAUCUAAUCACAUCACAUGAUUCAAUCAUUGCAAUAAUUACAGCUGAUACUUUUAGGCAUUGAAUCAAGGAACUUUCCUUUGGCAAUCAAGAAGGUGAAAAGUAGAAGAACCAUCAAGGUGUGACACUAUAUAUUGAAGAUUUGAGGUUGACAUUACAGUAAGAUUAUAGAAAUAUUUAAGCAAGGUACAAUUUUUUUCUGAAUAUAUGGGCCUUUUUCUUCUAGGGGUGAGGCCCUCAUAUUAAUUGCUAUUUUCUUCUAUAAUGUGUCACACUUUUGUUUCUAAAUAUAUUUUU